GUAAAGAUUACAUUGUUUGACAUAUGCUUCUGUUUUUUGGAUCCUCUUCCAAUGAUUGGUUAGAUGAUAUAUCCUCUGUAAAAGACAGCAAAAGAAGGGAGUUCAGAAAGUUUUGUGCUUUGCCUUUACUUCAUUGGUGGUAAUCCUAUCAUUACCUUUAAUGGUUGAAUUAUUAUUUAAAGAUCGAACUGCAUAAACUUGAUGAUGGAUGACCUAAUGAAAAGAAUCAGUGGCCACUAGUCUGUGAGAUAAACGCCCAAAUCUCUUAAGUUCAUAACUCAGACAACUGAUGGACGGCAAGUCAGCAACAUUGAUAUAUGGAGCUGGCAGGCAAGUUGUGUGUCUCAUCAUGAAUUCGUGCCACUUCUAGAUUUCUCCAUUACAGGUUGCCUUGUGGAUUAGAACAAUCAUCUGGAUUCUGGUUUGUUUAUAUGCGUUUGCAACUAAAGCUAGGGAGCUUCCAAUCUGCUCCGUUUUGUACAUGUUUUAUCUUCCCAGUUGCUCUUUGUUUACUCUUACCUUAAACUAAAAAAUGUUGAAUACCAACUCUGCUUUCUGGUCACACUUUCCUAUGUUAAUUUGGGAUUAACCCAU